rnacentral:rRNA from 1 species
AGAUGCGAGAGUAGAGCAUAUCAAUAAGCGGAGGAAAAGAAACUAACAAGGAUUCCCUUAGUAACGGCGAGUGAAGCGGGAAGAGCUCAAAUUUGAAAUCUUCAAGGUUUUACCUUGACGAAUUGUAGUUUAAAGAAGUGUUUUCUGUUGAAGUUUUGGUAAAAGUUCUUUGGAAUAGGACAUCAUAGAGGGUGAGAAUCCCGUAUUUGACCAUUAUUUUCAGCUGUGUGAUACACUUUCAAAGAGUCGGAUUGUUUGGGAAUGCAGUCCAAAAUGGGUGGUAAAUUUCAUCUAAAGCUAAAUAUUGGCGAGAGACCGAUAGCGAACAAGUACCGUGAGGGAAAGAUGAAAAGAACUUUGAAAAGAGAGUUAAACAGUACGUGAAAUUGUCAAAAGGGAAGCGUUUGACACCAGUGUUGUUUUCUCGAAAAUCGAUUAAAAAAAGUUGGAUUUUGUGUUGUAUUGACCUUAACAGCUUUCUUCACUCUUUUCCUGCUUUUUUUAAUGCACUUUUCGUUUAACAAGUCAACAUCAGUUUCUUUUGUUGUAAAAGGGUAUGAGGAAGGUGGCUUUCAUUUCGGAUGAAAGUGUUUAUAGCCUUGUGCCUCUGCAAUCGGAGAGAUUGAGGUCUGCAGCGUAAGAUCCUUCGGGGUUAGAUACAUUUGUGCUAAGUUAUAGCUUUUCAUAGACAACUUGUUGACUAUGUUUAGUCUUGUAGCUUACUCGCUGACGCUAUUUUACCUACGCUUAGGAUGUUGACACACGCGCGUGCUCG